rnacentral:rRNA from 1 species
AAUGAACGCUGGCGGCAGGCCUAACACAUGCAAGUCGAACGCACCGCAAGGUGAGUGGCAGACGGGUGAGUAACGCGUGGGAACCUUCCCUUUGGUUCAGAAUAGCCCCGGGAAACUGGGAUUAAUACUGGAUAAGAUCUACGGAUGAAAGAUUUAUCGCCGAAGGAUGGGCCUGCGUAAGAUUAGCUAGUUGGUGAGGUAAUGGCUCACCAAGGCUAUGAUCUUUAGCUGGUCUGAGAGGAUGAGCAGCCACACUGGAACUGAGACACGGCCCAGACUCCUACGGGAGGCAGCAGUGAGGAAUAUUGGACAAUGGGCGCAAGCCUGAUCCAGCCAUGCCGCGUGAGUGAUGAAGGCCUUAGGGUUGUAAAACUCUUUUAGUGGGGAAAAUAAUGAUGGUACCCACAGAAAAAGCUCCGGCUAACUUCGUGCCAGCCGCCGCGGUAA